GGAUGAACGCUAGCUACAGGCUUAACACAUGCAAGUCGAGGGGCAGCAAAUGAUCAAGCUGCUUGAUUGAUGGCGACCGGCGCACGGUGAGUAACGCGUAUCCAACCUUCCCCUUAGUAGGGCAUAGCCCGUAGAAAUGCGGAUUAAUACCCUAUGUUAUUCGUCGAGGACAUCUGAAGUGAAUCAAAGGUUUACCGCUAAGGGAUGGGGAUGCGUCCGAUUAGGCAGCAGGCGGGGUAACGGCCCACCUGGCCGACGAUCGGUAGGGGUUCUGAGAGGAAGGUCCCCCACAUUGGAACUGAGACACGGUCCAAACUCCUACGGGAGGCAGCAGUGAGGAAUAUUGGUCAAUGGGCGCGAGCCUGAACCAGCCAAGUAGCGUGCAGGACGACGGCCCUAUGGGUUGUAAACUGCUUUUAUGCGGGGAUAAAGUUCACUACGUGUAGUGUUUUGUAGGUACCGCAUGAAUAAGGACCGGCUAAUUCCGUGCCAGCCGCUGC
rnacentral:rRNA from 1 species